GGUUAAGCGACUAAGCGUACACGGUGGAUGCCCUGGCAGUCAGAGGCGAUGAAGGACGUGCUAAUCUGCGAUAAGCGUCGGUAAGGUGAUAUGAACCGUUAUAACCGGCGAUUUCCGAAUGGGGAAACCCAGUGUGAUUCGUCACACUAUCAUUAACUGAAUCCAUAGGUUAAUGAGGCGAACCGGGGGAACUGAAACAUCUAAGUACCCCGAGGAAAAGAAAUCAACCGAGAUUCCCCCAGUAGCGGCGAGCGAACGGGGAGGAGCCCAGAGCCUGAAUCAGUGUGUGUGUUAGUGGAAGCGUCUGGAAAGGCGCGCGAUACAGGGUGACAGCCCCGUACACAAAAAUGCACAUGCUGUGAGCUCGAUGAGUAGGACGGGACACGUGGUAUCCUGUCUGAAUAUGGGGGGGCCAUCCUCCAAGGCUAAAUACUCCUGACUGACCGAUAGUGAACCAGUACCGUGAGGGAAAGGCGAAAAGAACCCCGGCGAGGGGAGUGAAAAAGAACCUGAAACCGUGUACGUACAAGCAGUGGGAGCACAGAGCAAUCUGUGUGACUGCGUACCUUUUGUAUAAUGGGUCAGCGACUUAUAUUCUGUAGCAAGGUUAACCGAAUAGGGGAGCCGAAGGGAAACCGAGUCUUAACUGGGCGUUAAGUUGCAGGGUAUAGACCCGAAACCCGGUGAUCUAGCCAUGGGCAGGUUGAAGGUUGGGUAACACUAACUGGAGGACCGAACCGACUAAUGUUGAAAAAUUAGCGGAUGACUUGUGGCUGGGGGUGAAAGGCCAAUCAAACCGGGAGAUAGCUGGUUCUCCCCGAAAGCUAUUUAGGUAGCGCCUCGUGAAUUCAUCUCCGGGGGUAGAGCACUGUUUCGGCAAGGGGGUCAUCCCGACUUACCAACCCGAUGCAAACUGCGAAUACCGGAGAAUGUUAUCACGGGAGACACACGGCGGGUGCUAACGUCCGUCGUGAAGAGGGAAACAACCCAGACCGCCAGCUAAGGUCCCAAAGUCAUGGUUAAGUGGGAAACGAUGUGGGAAGGCCCAGACAGCCAGGAUGUUGGCUUAGAAGCAGCCAUCAUUUAAAGAAAGCGUAAUAGCUCACUGGUCGAGUCGGCCUGCGCGGAAGAUGUAACGGGGCUAAACCAUGCACCGAAGCUGCGGCAGCGACGCUUAUGCGUUGUUGGGUAGGGGAGCGUUCUGUAAGCCUGUGAAGGUGUACUGUGAGGUAUGCUGGAGGUAUCAGAAGUGCGAAUGCUGACAUAAGUAACGAUAAAGCGGGUGAAAAGCCCGCUCGCCGGAAGACCAAGGGUUCCUGUCCAACGUUAAUCGGGGCAGGGUGAGUCGACCCCUAAGGCGAGGCCGAAAGGCGUAGUCGAUGGGAAACAGGUUAAUAUUCCUGUACUUGGUGUUACUGCGAAGGGGGGACGGAGAAGGCUAUGUUGGCCGGGCGACGGUUGUCCCGGUUUAAGCGUGUAGGCUGGUUUUCCAGGCAAAUCCGGAAAAUCAAGGCUGAGGCGUGAUGACGAGGCACUACGGUGCUGAAGCAACAAAUGCCCUGCUUCCAGGAAAAGCCUCUAAGCAUCAGGUAACAUCAAAUCGUACCCCAAACCGACACAGGUGGUCAGGUAGAGAAUACCAAGGCGCUUGAGAGAACUCGGGUGAAGGAACUAGGCAAAAUGGUGCCGUAACUUCGGGAGAAGGCACGCUGAUAUGUAGGUGAAGUCCCUCGCGGAUGGAGCUGAAAUCAGUCGAAGAUACCAGCUGGCUGCAACUGUUUAUUAAAAACACAGCACUGUGCAAACACGAAAGUGGACGUAUACGGUGUGACGCCUGCCCGGUGCCGGAAGGUUAAUUGAUGGGGUCAGCGCAAGCGAAGCUCUUGAUCGAAGCCCCGGUAAACGGCGGCCGUAACUAUAACGGUCCUAAGGUAGCGAAAUUCCUUGUCGGGUAAGUUCCGACCUGCACGAAUGGCGUAAUGAUGGCCAGGCUGUCUCCACCCGAGACUCAGUGAAAUUGAACUCGCUGUGAAGAUGCAGUGUACCCGCGGCAAGACGGAAAGACCCCGUGAACCUUUACUAUAGCUUGACACUGAACAUUGAGCCUUGAUGUGUAGGAUAGGUGGGAGGCUUGGAAGUGUGGACGCCAGUCUGCAUGGAGCCGACCUUGAAAUACCACCCUUUAAUGUUUGAUGUUCUAACGUUGACCCGUAAUCCGGGUUGCGGACAGUGUCUGGUGGGUAGUUUGACUGGGGCGGUCUCCUCCUAAAGAGUAACGGAGGAGCACGAAGGUUGGCUAAUCCUGGUCGGACAUCAGGAGGUUAGUGCAAUGGCAUAAGCCAGCUUGACUGCGAGCGUGACGGCGCGAGCAGGUGCGAAAGCAGGUCAUAGUGAUCCGGUGGUUCUGAAUGGAAGGGCCAUCGCUCAACGGAUAAAAGGUACUCCGGGGAUAACAGGCUGAUACCGCCCAAGAGUUCAUAUCGACGGCGGUGUUUGGCACCUCGAUGUCGGCUCAUCACAUCCUGGGGCUGAAGUAGGUCCCAAGGGUAUGGCUGUUCGCCAUUUAAAGUGGUACGCGAGCUGGGUUUAGAACGUCGUGAGACAGUUCGGUCCCUAUCUGCCGUGGGCGCUGGAGAACUGAGGGGGGCUGCUCCUAGUACGAGAGGACCGGAGUGGACGCAUCACUGGUGUUCGGGUUGUCAUGCCAAUGGCACUGCCCGGUAGCUAAAUGCGGAAGAGAUAAGUGCUGAAAGCAUCUAAGCACGAAACUUGCCCCGAGAUGAGUUCUCCCUGACUCCUUGAGAGUCCUGAAGGAACGUUGAAGACGACGACGUUGAUAGGCCGGGUGUGUAAGCGCAGCGAUGCGUUGAGCUAACCGGUACUAAUGAACCGUGAGGCUUAACCUU
rnacentral:rRNA from 1 species